UGUCACCUCUCUCCUGCAGACUGUCCAUC
rnacentral:piRNA from 1 species